rnacentral:rRNA from 1 species
UGCAAGUCGAGCGGCAGCGCGGGGGCAACCCUGGCGGCGAGCGGCGAACGGGUGAGUAAUGUAUCGGAACGUACCCAGUCGUGGGGGAUAACUAUCCGAAAGGAUAGCUAAUACCGCAUACGUCCUGAGUGAGAAAGCGGGGGACCGAAAGGCCUCGCGCGAUUGGAGCGGCCGAUAUCGGAUUAGCUAGUUGGUGAGGUAAAGGCUCACCAAGGCGACGAUCCGUAGCUGGUCUGAGAGGACGACCAGCCACACUGGAACUGAGACACGGUCCAGACUCCUACGGGAGGCAGCAGUGGGGAAUUUUGGACAAUGGGGGCAACCCUGAUCCAGCCAUUCCGCGUGAGUGAAGAAGGCCUUCGGGUUGUAAAGCUCUUUCAGCAGGAACGAAACGGUGGCUCCUAAUACGAGUUACUAAUGACGGUACCUGAAGAAGAAGCACCGGCUAACUACGUGCCAGCAGCCGCGGUAAUACGUAGGGUGCGAGCGUUAAUCGGAAUUACUGGGCGUAAAGCGUGCGCAGGCGGUUAUAUAAGACAGAUGUGAAAUCCCCGGGCUUAACCUGGGAACUGCGUUUGUGACUGUAUAACUCGAGUGUGGCAGAGGGGGGUGGAAUUCCACGUGUAGCGGUGAAAUGCGUAGAGAUGUGGAGGAACACCGAUGGCGA